UUUUAUUCCUAAAUUAUUAUCAUUUGUAACGAAGAUCCAUAUUUUUAGUUUUCAAAGAAAAAGUUAAUCAAGGUUUUAUGCUAUUACAAUACUUAAUUAUGCAUAUACUGAUGUAAACAUUACAGAUAAACUUAUGUGUGCUAAUUUGUCUAAAUUCAUCAUUUCUCCAGGUAUCCUCGCUAACCUUAAUAAACUAUUUCUUUCAUCUUCAUUUAUUAUCGAAGCACUGUUCUGUUCAAACAUUUUUUAUUUUUUAUUUUCUCAUAUUCAUACAUGAUAUAAUACACCCAAAAAUCUAUACUCUGUACACAGUUGUUCCUAAAUCAAACAUAUACAGAGUAUUUAUGUAUAUAGAUAAGAAACUAUAUGCAAAGGAAACUUAUCAUAAAUUACAUGAUUAAAAAGUUCGACAAAAUUAAAGUACUAUAUAAUUAAAGUUUAGUAAAAAAAAUUAUAAAUUUAUAUGCUUUAUUUGUACUUAUUUUUGUCCUUUUCGUAUAUCUUUUUAUUCAUGUCACUUUGAUUUUUAAAGAAAUAUUUGAAGAGUAUAUGCAUGUAAAACAUUUUCUUUCGAUAUAUUUUUUCAGUAUAUUUCUGAUUGGUAUCUUUUCUUUUUCUAUAAUUGUGAAAAAUUAAAGAUGUAUGUUAUAUAAUGUACGUUAUGUGGUACAGAAUUUAUUUCAUAUUUUACUCACAUAAAUUUAUUUAAAUUACUGUUGUAUAUAAGUGAACAAUAGUAAGGUUAUGUUUACAUAAUCAUCUAUAGAUAAAUCUAAUCGUUCAUAAAAUUCUUUAUAAAAUUGAUGGUUAGUAUUCUGUGUAUUUUUAAUUCUUCUGAAAGUAAGUUUUGUAUUAAUUGUGCAAUAUUAAUAUUACGAUACAUUAAAGUUACAUCCAUUGGUAUAUGACCGGCUCUGUUUUUCCGAUUUGAUUUGCUCACUUCUCAAUAAGAUAACUGUAUAAUUUCAAAAUUUAAAACUUAAUUUAAAAAUGUUAUAUAAAUAUUUUAUUUUCACAGUUACUAACGUAAUCAAUUUCAUAUUUUCUGUCAUAGGUGAUAUAUAUAACGGCUUGUGUAAACCCAUAAAAUCUGUUGUAUCUGCAAUUUUUCGAAAUAGAAAACCAAGUAUUUCUAUAUCCUAUACCUUUCAUGUACAGAAAGUAGCUUUAAGAAAUAAACCUAAUGAAAUUUGAUUUGAUUUAGCAUGAAUGAAACAAUAGUUCUGUGAAGAAAUUUGAUUCCAUCAAUUUUAUGAAUACCUUUAAAUCGAUUGUACUCAUUUAUCCCUAAUUUACUCAUUGUACUCACGCAAUAUUAAUAAUUUAAUCAUAGGAAGGGAAGAUCUUCAUAUGACACUAGUAUACAAAGGGCUUUCAUAAAAGACAUCAUAAAUAUUUACAAGUGCACCAUUUCUUAAUAAUAGGGAAGCACUUUUAAUAUCCUUUCAAAGAGCAGCAUAAUGCAAAGGAUAUCUACCUAAAUUAUAUUACAGCAUUAUUUUGAAAUAACUUCUCAAUUGCAUUUUUAUAUCUAAGAAAAGCAGCUUUGUGAAGGAAUGUUAAUCCUGUAUAGAAAUAUAUACAUAUAUAUGUAUAUGUAAUUUUUUUUAACCAAUUUUAGAUUAUUAAUUUAAAUUAGUAGUGUAUUUAUUAAUGCAUAAUCAUAAUAUAAAUUAAAAAAAGUAGAAUAAGAAAAAUCUGAAUAGUUUUUUUGUAAAGUAAUUGUCUAGCAAAUUGAUAUCUAUAAUGAAUAUUUUUUAUAAUACGAAAUAUCAAUUCGGUUUAACGAUUAACUAACCAUCUAUUGUUUCUGCUUCAAUGUUAAUGGGUGAUUGCAAAGCAAUUGAAUAAGUUCUGUGUCAUUAUGACCGCAAUAUCCAAACGAGUUAAUCAUGUCUUCUACAAUUGACAUCUGCAUGCUAAAUAAAACCAUUUAUAAAAUUAAUAUUAGAUGCAUCUAACCGUACUCUCUAUUAAUUAAAAUUGGUGGUUAAGAAUUUUUAUAUUUGAGAGAGCGCUUCUCUUGCCAUGUGCACCUGACGAAUGGUAUAAACUAGUAAUUAUUUCUAACAUUGUCGUUUAUCGAUUUUGGCCAACUUGCAGAAUUGACUAUUACGAUACGACGUCGCUUACUCAUUUAUUAUAAUAUUUAUUCGACGAUGCUCAAAAGAAUUUAAAGGUUAAUAUUAGCACAAAUAAAACAAAAGAUGUAGACCCGAUCGUAGAUCUGUUCAUGACACGAUGCACACGAGUGACACGACACCGUUGUAACGUCACAGGUCAGGCGAGUCACACUUGUAACUACGUUUGAGAGUAAAAAUAAAAGUUUGACGUAAGGAGCUUCAAAGUAAUUGAUCAUUCUAUGACGUAUCGUACAGCGUCGUCGUCUACGUCACUUACUUAACGAUGACGAUUCUAUGUAAACGCUAUAAAUACCAUCGAUAGCCUUCGUUACGAAACUAUCGACUUCCGAUUUGAAUCGGAACAUCUAGAGGUUCCUUAUACUAUCGAAUGUAUAUAUAUAUAGUCUGUUGUUAAAGAGAAGAAACGUACAAAAAAGAAAGAAAAAUAUCGUGUUUAUAUUUUACAAUUAUUCUAUACUAUUUUAUGUGUAUAUAUAGUUUUUUGUUAUAGGCUAAAAAUUAUUGUAGAUCAAGGCAGGAGAAAACCAAUCCUAUAUGCUCUGCAGAUCAACUUCGAUAACGACAGCUUCUCGAAGUCGUAUUGAACCGGCUUGGUCGUCAAGUCCACCGCCGUUUCUGCCGAGGGCAACGCCCUCGCCAGCCCUCUCAUCCCCAUUCAGAAGAAACGUCGAAGAAAAAGAGGGAUGUUCCGAGCAAGAGGGCGGGAAGGGUGAGUUCUCGCAGGGGUGGGAAUUACAGACUGGUUACCGAGUCGAUUCACUCUGCCCAAGGCAGCUUGUUCUACAGGUGAAUUCGCCCUAACACAUCCUAAUCUCAUCUGUGUGGAACGCAAUCGUCAAACAAUAGAAGCAAUAUGAUAUAAAUGUCUCGUAAACGAUAUUCACAACUUGACGAAAUUCUAAACUGAUUGAAGGAAGUAGAUAGUAUGACAAUUGAUCGAACAAUCGAUCAAUCAGAUUUAAAUUGUUUAGUAAAUUCCUUUUAUAAUUUUCUACUUUUUCCUUUAUUUUCUUUUUUUCCGUUUAAUAAUAACAAUAAAAAAAUUAAUACGA